UAUUUUGCUUUCAACUGAGAAAACAGGAAACGACAAGAAAACAUUAAUGUUUUCUUCAAGAAGUAAAUUGCUGGUUCAACCCGAGUGAUUAGAUAAUUACAAGAAAACUAAGCGCGUCUAGUCAGCUUUCGGCCACAUAUUUAUUCUAGUCCAACAUGGUGAUUUUAACAAGGGGUGAUUACAUUUGGAUUGAGCCCCAAUCUAAAAGAGAAUUUGAUGUUGCCAUUGGUGCUAAAGUUACCUCUACAGAUGGGAAGCGAUUUCAGGUGAUUGAUGAUGAUGGAAAGG